rnacentral:rRNA from 1 species
AUUGAACGCUGGCGGCAGGCCUAACACAUGCAAGUCGAGCGGGGUCUUCGGACCUAGCGGCGGACGGGUGAGUAAUGCGUAGGAAGCUACCCGAUAGAGGGGGAUACCAGUUGGAAACGACUGUUAAUACCGCAUAAUGUCUACGGACCAAAGUGUGGGACCUUCGGGCCACAUGCUAUCGGAUGCGCCUACGUGGGAUUAGCUAGUUGGUGGGGUAAUGGCUCACCAAGGCGACGAUCCCUAGCUGGUUUGAGAGGAUGAUCAGCCACACUGGAACUGAGACACGGGCCAGACUCCUACGGGAGGCAGCAGUGGGGAAUAUUGGACAAUGGGCGCAAGCCUGAUCCAGCCAUGCCGCGUGUGUGAAGAAGGCCUUCGGGUUGUAAAGCACUUUCAGUAGGGAGGAAGGGUGUUGUGUUAAUAGCACAGCAUUUUGACGUUACCUACAGAAGAAGCACCGGCUAACUCUGUGCCAGCAGCCGCGGUAACAC